rnacentral:lncRNA from 1 species
CAGCGCCGGGCUUUCCUCGCGCCUGUCGAAGGCCGGCCUUCCCGCUCGGGUGUCUCGCCCUCUCGCUUCUCCGCAGGGCAGGAGGCAGUGGCGAGAAAAGGAGCUGCCGGCCGGAGUUCUAGCACCGAGAAGGAGAGGUACUGGAAUACCUGAGUUUUGGCUGGGCACAGAACUGUCUGGAAUACAGACUGCAAUUCCCAGCCUUCUGUGCAGUUCUGUGUGGCCAUGUGACUAAGUUGUGGUCAAUAUGAGGUCACGGAAGAAUAGAAGAACAACUCAGAGGAGGAAGAAGUCAGACAUAGCCAGACACGGCUGCUAGCAGUUCCACCAAUGAAAGAGGAGACCAGGAUGUUUAAAACAGGCAAACACAAGGUGCGAAAAACCAGAAGCGAAAACUUCUGAGGUCAUUUAAGGCAAGGACUAUCGUUAUCCCCGGAAGCAGAGAGAAGUUCCCUUUGCCCAACAUCACACUGCAAGCACGUGUUGGAGCUGAGAUUCAAACCCAGGCAUCCAGGGUCCAGGGCCCAUGCUUUUAAUAUAUUCCAUAUCUUAGGAGAAUUUCCCCUAUUUAAACAAUAAAAGUGCAAAAAUCUUGUGGCUAGCCAAAA